ACAUACAGAAAUUUGUGGUAGGCAGAAUAAUGGCCCUCAAAGAUUUCCACGUCCUAAUCCUCAGAACCUGUGAAUAGGUGCUGUUUCUUGGCAAAGGCUAAGUAAGGUUGCAGAUGGAAUCAAGGUUGUUAAUCAUUUGAACUUAAAAUGGGGAGACGAGCCUGGAUUAUCCAGGUGAGUCCAAUGUAAUCAGAAAGCUCCUUAAAAGUGGAAGAGAGGCAGAAGAGAUCAGAGUCAUGAGAUAUGAGAAGGACUGGACCUGUCAUUGCUGGAGGAAGUGGGCUAUGAACCAAAGUGGUGGCUUCUAGAAGCUGGAAAAGGCAAGGAAAGGAUUCACCCCUAAAGCCUCAGGAAAGGAAUUCAGUCCUGCUGACACCUUCAUCUUAGCCCAGUGAGACCCUUGUUGAACUUCUACAGAGCUUGAGUGAUUUAUUCUCCUGAGAAGAUCUGGAGGAGUUACAGCUUAUUGGAAAGGAAGGCAAAAAUAGGGAUGCUCUUCCAAAUACCAAAAUGAGCAAGAGGAAUUGGACUAGAUUUUAACUAAACAUGAAGACUGAACUUUCCUUCUAGAUCUCAGUGAUGCUGGAAGUGGCCCUCCUGUCUUGUGGCACGCAGCAGCCUCAGGACCUGUUAAACUAUCACUGGAAAGGGGAGGAGGAGAGAAAGCUCCCAGAAAGGGAAGGCAGCUCCCCGCUUCAGGCACAUAAUGCCAAUCAGAACAUGACAUUGUAAUACAUCAAACACGUUUCCAGAAGAAAAGAACUUGUGAAUUUAACAGCAGUUGGGUGUGGGAAGUCCAUCAGCAUUUUCAAAUAAUCAUGUCCAUAAUCAACUAAAAAGGCUAUCUUCAGUUAACAAGAGUUAGUCCUUCAUAUAUGGACUAUUAACAAGACACUAAUGCAAGACUUACUAAUCAGACUUCCCUACUAGACACUACCUUGCAUUUAUUGUUGAGAUGUGACACAUGAUGUUAAUUACAAAAUAAAUGACAUUCAGCCAGAAUCUAAAUAUCUAGGAAUCUAAAAUAACCAGAUCUUAUCUCCCACCCCUAUAGUCUCGUACGAUGAUAAUGAUGCCAACCCAGAAAACCCUGACAUUUUCUGUUUCUAAGGUUUCUCUGAAUCACCAUAAAGAUUUACUUAUGCUCUUGUGAAAUGCAUGUGCAUUGUUUUUACAGUAAGCCAAUUCUUCAAAAAUUGGUAAUCUGAAAUAUGAGACUUCCCAAAGCAGCCUUAGCAAGAAAAUUGCCGCAUUUGCUUCUUAACAGUCCUACCAGAUUACCCCCAAAUUUGGUGAGAUUUCCACUCUUUAGACUUGGGUGGUGAGGAGCAUAGUUAAACAGAUGUGGGCACGAAUCCUCUUCACUUCAACCCGUAAUCUUGGGCACGUUCAUUAACUCUCUGUGCUCAGUUUCCUCAACUGAAAAUCGAGAAAAACAAUACCUAUACCAUGAGGGUAUUCGUGUGGGGACUAAAUGAGAUAAUGUAUAAUAAUGACAUACUGUCCAGUAAUCCUUUAAUAAAUAGGGACUGCUAAUAUCUUCUUUAACUCAAUCACCUGUUUAGAGGGUGAGCAAUGACAGUGAGGCAUAUAAAAAUACACACAACUCUGAGGGAACCCUCUGCACUGGAGAGAAACUACAACCACGCAUGACACACUGACACCAAUCUUAAACCAUUUAUAGGAAAGGGCUAAGUGACCAGCAUACAAUAUUGGUUUAGAAAUUGAGAGACGUUGCAAACACAAAUGGCAGAGCAUUCUUAGUCCUCCAUUCUCACCUGAUCCCAAUAAUGAAGAGCACAGCUGGGAUGGAAGGAGACCAAGCUCCCUACCUUCCUGCCCAGCGCUCUUUACAACCUGCGAGCUGCACGCUGAGGCAUCACAGCCAGGCCGCGGAUGGUGGAUACAAUUAUCUCCCAGCCCUUUGAAGUUCGGCCAGAAAUAUUUGUUGUCAAUAUCACAUGUGAUUAGGACAGUAAUGUCCUCCUGCAAAAGACAGAACCCUUUGUCCACCACCCUCCUUCUGCCACUGCCAGAGAGCAGGAAGUGGGUGAGGGGCCGGCGCCUCUCUCCUCUUGGUCCAAUUUCACACAUUGGUUUUUCAGCAUUAAUAAAUUGGUUACAUUUGCCCUGCAUUUGGCAGCGAGGUUUCUAAUAACACUCUGAUCCCUUCAGAGAACAUGAAUCACUGGCAUGUGGGGGCUCUGGUUACCUCCCCCGACUGUCUGCUGCUAAAGGUCCCACACAUUAGCAAGGGUCAGGCACUCACCCGGGCCAGGGCAAAGUCUAAGACAAGGGCCAUGGCUUCGAGGCACUGCCACGGAGCUCAAAGAUUUUCCCUCAGAGGGAGAACAGAAAACUUUGAGCCCAGGCAAUGUGCAGCUUUCUUCAGCUGUCAAUCCUACCUGGUUUGCAUAUAGAUUAAGAAAACGUGUGAGAUUUUACCACAAGAAUCAGUCCAGAGAAUUCAAGGAGGGUGGUGGUGGGUGGAGAGAGGAUGGGAGGGAAAAAAAUGUGUGAUGCAGAUGUCUGAGAGUUAUGUGCCGCUCAGACACUGCCUCCUUUGUGAAGCCGGGAAUCUUCGGGGAUGGAUAGCCUGAGUGAGGACGGUGUACGAGGCAUCUACUUUUCUCUGAGGCAUGGUUCUUCUGGCUAUAGAAUUAGGUAUGCAAAAGGACCAUGAGCAAGGGGAAGCCCUGGGACUGAGAGGAGGCCCAGAGUCAGCGGCCAGUCACAACUUCAACCUUGGUGGGCGAAGCAGAGGGAGAAAAGAGGGCAAAGAAAUAUCUAAAGAGAGCACAGACAGGUCUAGGACAAACAAAGGGGGUAAAAUGGGAGGAAGAGAUGGAAAGAACAAUGAAAAAAGAGAAUCAAGAAGAGAGAGAGAGGAAAGAAGUUCAAUCAAAUCCAAUAGAUAUGCUAACCUCUACUUGAGAGAAAGGAGUGUUUUUACAUAUAGCAAGUAUAUAUGGAAUCCAGUUGCUGCCCCCCCAGGAGCCC
ensembl:lncRNA